rnacentral:lncRNA from 1 species
UCCGGACUUCCCUUUUAUUUCAUUUCAUUUGUUUUAUUGUUCCCUACAAGAAUAUAUAUGGUUUAGGGGUGGGGAUGUUGACCGUUUACAAGUUUUCAAAUAAGAGGGGGUGGGGUGACCCCCUAGGGACUUCCCUUUAAUUUCAUUUCAUUUGUUUUAUUGUCCCCUACAAGAAUAUAUUGGUUUUAGGGGUGGGGAUGUUGACCGAUUACAAGUUUUGAAACAUGAGGGGGUGGGGUGACCCCCUAGGGACUUCCCUUUAAUUUAAUUUCAUUUGUUUUAUUGUCCCUUA